rnacentral:rRNA from 1 species
AAUCAACGCUGGCGGCGUGCCUCAGACAUGCAAGUCGAACGCGAAAGUCCCCUUCGGGGGACGAAGUAGAGUGGCGCACGGGUGAGUAACACGUAGGUAAUCUACCUUCGGAUGGGGAAUAACAACCGGAAACGGUUAGCUAAUACCGCAUAAUGCAGCGGCACCUAAUGGUGACAGUUGUUAAAGCGGGGGAGUUGAAAGACCUCGCGUCUGAAGAGGAGCCUGCGGCGGAUUAGCUUGUUGGAGGGUAACGGCCUACCAAGGCGACGAUCCGUAGCCGGCCUGAGAGGGCGGUCGGCCACACUGACACUGACAUACGGGUCAGACUCCUACGGGAGGCAGCAGUCGGGAAUUUUGGGCAAUGGGCGAAAGCCUGACCCAGCAACGCCGCGUGAAGGAUGAAAUCCCUCGGGAU